rnacentral:tRNA from 4 species
GGAGAGGUGGCAGAGUGGUUGAAUGCGGCGGUCUUGAAAACCGUUGAAGGUUUUUAUCUUCCGGGGGUUCGAAUCCCUCCCUCUCCGCCA